UACAGAGGUCUCAAGCGUUGUUCGGAUUCAUUGGGCGUAAAGGGUGCGUAGGCGGCGGGGCAAGUCGGAUGUGAAAUCUCAGGGCUCAACCCUGAAACUGCAUUCGAUACUGCCUUGCUCGAGGACUGGAGAGGAGAUUGGAAUUCACGGUGUAGCAGUGAAAUGCGUAGAUAUCGUGAGGAAGACCAGUGGCGAAGGCGGAUCUCUGGACAGUUCCUGACGCUGAGGCGCGAAGGCCAGGGGAGCAAACGGG
rnacentral:rRNA from 1 species